AGUUCGGAUUGAAGGCUGAAAUUACGCCUUCAUGAAGCUGGAAUUGCUAGUAAUGGCAGGUCAGCAUACUGCCGUGAAUACGUUCCCGGGCCUUGUACACACCGCCCGUCACACCAUAAGAGUUGGGAAUACCCGAAGCCUGUGAGCUAACAUUUAUGAGGCAGCAGUCGAAGGUAGAAUCAAUGAUUGGGGUGAAGUCGUAACAAGGUACC
rnacentral:rRNA from 1 species